UACGUAGGGUGCAAGCGUUAAUCGGAAUUACUGGGCGUAAAGCGUGCGCAGGCGGUGAUGUAAGACAGUUGUGAAAUCCCGGGCUCAACCUGGGAACUGCAUCUGUGACUGCAUCGCUGGAGUGCGGCAGAGGGGAUGGAAUUCCGCGUGUAGCAGUGAAAUGCGUAGAUAUGCGGAGGAACACCGAUGGCGAAGGCAAUCCCUGGGCCUGCACUGACGCUCAUGCACGAAAGCGUGGGGAGCAAACAGG
rnacentral:rRNA from 1 species